GUAUGCCCCGGCCUCAGCUGAACCACCGCGCAGGGAAGUCGCAACAAGUGACCCGGCAGGGCAAGGCUGUGAAGGGCAGCUGGGCCUCCGUCUGUUGGGACGAAGAGGCCGAGAGCAAACAUGAUAGGCCAGGAACAUUUGAAAGCCAUGGUUGUGGUGGAAGUGUGCAGGAGAGCUUGAACAUGGCUAAAGGAGGCAGAACGCAAGCAUUUUCUGAGAUGCAAUGGACUACCUUCACAAGUUGAGCUGUAAUGGAAGGAGCAGGUAAUGAGAGCUGGGGACAUCAGGGAAAGCUCAACUGGAAGAGAGCAUUUUACCUGGCCUCAACUUGAUGGGGCAGUAGCCAGGCAAAAGAUACCCCCAAUGAAAGAACAGAAUGUAAGAAGGCAUGAGCCUACAGACCACAGUGGAGAACCAAAGUGCAACAGACAUGAGAAAGCUGGCACCAGAUGGAGAAAAAGGCUUUGAUCGUCCUGCCAACAGUUCAUGAUGAUGACAUCAGGCCAGGAACGUAGGUGAUGCAAUUAAUUGUCAAAGAUGGUGACGAUGAUGAUGCCAAUGUAUGUGUGAUGCUACCCAUGGACCCCCAGGCUUCUGAAUACUAAGCAGGCCUUCUGCUACUAAACUACAGCCCCAGCCUGCACCUAGUUCUUUGAAUUGAAAUGGUUGACAUCAAUAAGACCCAAGCCCCUGAGAGGGUAGGAGAGGCUAUUGUUUCUUCCCAACUUACCCUAUUCUGCUAAUGGUGGAUGCUCAGAAAAGCCAGACACAACUUAAUUCUCUGUCAUCCUGGCUUUCCUAAUAAUUCUUGUUUGGAAGUCCAGCUGGUGAGACAAAGGAGCAUGGUGUGGACAGAGGGGAUAGAGAGUGUACUUGCAUUGUAUCUUACCACUCCCCCCCCCCCCCAAGCGCAUUCUCCAGGCCCACAAGCACUGAUUUCUGGUAGAACCACAGGCAUCAGAGUUCACACUCUGCAUAUGAGUGAGUAAGGGAGCUGAUAGCUCCCAGACGCUGUGCUUUCCAGUAAAACCAGAACUUGAAACACAAGCCAUGCACUCUGAGAUUCACAAGACUGAAAUGUGGCAACAUGGCCACUCUUGCUUUGUUUCCUGUGCUAGCACCUGUCCUGAGGACACUUCUAACCAGUCCCUCUUUACGCUUCGGAGAUUCUUGGUAGAAUGUGUGUUAUCAAGAGGCAAAACAAUAAGGUCGAGUAAGUUUUAUGCAGAUUUCUGGCUUCCCUGGUCAGAAUGAAACAAAAAUGUUUGAGCCCUGAGACAGAAACUGGGACACUUUGGUGGGUACAUGCAAAAGUUAAGUGUUUGUGGUUACAUGUAACCUUUUUCUUCAGCAUCAUAUUAACAAAUUGAAACAAAAGGAAGACUUUUAUGUUGAGUACAUUUAGCAGCAUUUCUUUUUCUUUUGAUUACAAGCAUUGACUACCACAUCCAGUUUAGUGUCUCUUUUUAUGCUUUCUGAACAGCGGGCUUCAGAAAUUACCAGCAUUGCUAGGAAACCACUGCCCAUGGCAUCUUCCCAGCCUCUAAAGGAGGUGGAUCAAAGAAAGACUCCCCACUUACUGGCACUCCCCUUACUUCCUGAGCAAGCCGGAAGAGACUAGCUCUGUUCUCUCUGGAGGAUCCAAGGCUGCCUAUAAGCCAGCUGCCACACUUGAGGCACACUCCCUGUAGUGACCACACUUGAGACACACUCCCUGUAGUGACCAUAAUUGGACUUCAUUAUUCCAGGAGUUAGGUGGGAAAGAAAACAAAUUGGUAUUUAUAACAUGGUGUCUGUGGGGGACACAAAUUAGAAAUCAACUUUUUGUUUGUUUUGUUUUGUUUUUUGUUUUUCCAGACAGGGUUUCUCUGUGACUUUGGAGGCUGUCCUGGAACUAGCUCUUGUAGACCAGGCUGGUCUCGAACUCACAGAGAUCCACCUGCCUCUGCCUCCCGAGUGCUGGGAUUAAAGGUGUGCACCACCAACUCUUAAGAACCCAUUACAGUAACAGACAAGGACUGUCUUCCAAGUUCAGAAAUACCAGCACUGUCAAAAAGGAUUCAAAACUGGGGCAGAUACAUGUUAACACAAAGUUCUGUUUGUUUGUUUGUUUUUGUUUUUUUCGAGGCAGGGUUUCUCUGUGUAGCUUUGGAGCCUAUCCUGGCACUCGCUCUGGAGACCAGGCUGGCCUCAAACUCACAGAGAUCCGCCUGCCUCUGCCUCUCGAGUGCUGGGAUUAAAGGCAUGCACCAUCAACGCCCGGCUAACACAAAGUUCUUAACAGUGAUAACUUCACUCUAUCCCCUGGGAAGAGUCCAGCCCUCUGGAGUUGCAGCUUAAAGAACCUGCUGCGCCCUAUGUGGACAGUCUCUGGAGACCAGUACUGGCAAGGCCGUGUUUGACUAAACAGAUGGUAAUCCAUUAAGAACACAGAAAUGACUGUGCUGAGUGGAACCCAAGAUUCAGCCUGUCUGGUAUUCUCUGGCUGUGUGCAUAAAACUUCAGGUUUGACUCACUGACGCUGGUGUUGGCUGUAGUAGUCAUUUGGAAAGAGGCUGCCGUGUGGCUUCAGCGAACAGUCAACUCUAACUCAGGUUCUCUUCUUGGAACAAAGCAUGGCUUCCAGCUCAUCUGGUGCUCACUUCAUACUAACGGCCUAAAAGAAUUGUUCCAAACAGUGCAAAAUGGAACUUAUUUGCCAUCCUCCUGCCCACUCACAUGGCUUGUGCAAUGUACCUUUCUUCAUCUGCUUAGAGUUUAUUAUUGUGCUGAGAGCUGCAGGACAUUUUCAGCCCAGUGACUUCUCCUCAUUUUCAGUCUCUGAGAGUCCCAUGCCCUCCAGCAGCAGUGAUUCGUGAGAGCUCCCCUCAGGAAGCACCAGGAGCGGCUGGUAUCCAUCUGGUGUCCUGAUACCAACAGCAGUCACCAGGCCUGGGGAUUGGCUCCACUUCUGCCCCUUAGCUGUUUGACUCCAGGCAAGUAAUUUCAUCUCAGGACAGUAGAAAAGAGCACCAUCUCUCUUCUCCUGCAGAGCCAUUCUGAGGGCUUCAUAAAGGUGUUCAAGUCUCCAACCGGUCUAUUCUCCCCACAUGGCUUCCUGAAGUUGGCCUGGUCUCCCUCCACUCGCUGCAUUCAUUCGACAGUUACUCUUUGAGUGCCUACUUUAUCUGAGGCCGAACAUUUUCCCAGAGCUGGGGAUUCAGUUCUGUGGCCUAGCACCUGCCCAACAUACAUGUGGUCUGGGUUGGAUGCCCAACAACAGGAAGGGCAGAUAGAACAACUCUCUCCAAACCUUCUGGGUAACUUAGUUGGGAAGUUGUUGUUUGCAAUGCAUGUCUAAUGCAUCAGUUGAUAGAGACAGUUUUAAAGCAUGGAAUGCGUUGUUUUGCACUUAAUUACUUCUCAAAGGCAUGAUGAAAUAGUGAGGCCUGACACAUGCCCAAGCACAUCGCUCAGGGACAAAGGGCCAAGCAGUUACCUGUAUCUCUCCCUGGAAAGAAGCUAUGCUUUCUGCUCCCCGGGAAGCAAGUAUGCCUUCUACUUUCGGCCAGGAGAGGUAGAAGAAAGGUCAGGACAGAUAGGGCUAAGAAGACCAGGAGAAGUGCACAACGGUGAUACCAAGGUGGCUGGUAACUUUGCCAUCCCCAGCAUCCAGUACCAUCACACAUAUGUUCAUUUAUACAAAAGCAGCAUUCAUGCUCCAUAGUUUAGCCUGGGGUCAGUUCAAGCAAAGAAAAAUUUCUUCUAAGCUUAGAAGCCUUUGUUGAAGGAUUACAGAUUGCACUUCUGAAGCAAAGACAGAAGGCUAAAUAUCCUUGGGGGGAAACAGAAAGGAAACAUUUAAAAAAUGACUUAGCCAGACAGCAAGACAUGCAAGAAUGAGAAAGAAGAAAAUAAAUGGCUCCUUCCUGCCUCCCUCUGUGACUCAGAGAUAACCCCUAAAAAUAGUCACCGUCCCAGUGUGGGGAAGCUGAGGAAGACUCAUCUUUGAAAGUUAGAUGAUGGCUGAGGAAGGGAAGGAACAAAAGGAAGGAGGUGGGAACUAGAUUUGAUUUUUUUUUUUUUUUUUUUUUUUUUUUUGCCAGCAGAGGGGUGGUGGUGUUUUUUGAGACAGGACCUCAGUAUGUGACCUAGACUAGUCUCAAACUUCAGCUCUUCCUGCCUUACCUCAAUGCAGGGAUUACACUGUACACCGGCACCCCUGGCUGGGAAACAGCAACUGUGCGUGCCAAACAAGGGUGCUCCCACCCAUCUGUACCCCCAGCCUUCUUUUUAAACAGAUUUUCUAAUAAGUUGCCCAGGCUAGCCUUGAACUUGUGACUACCCCUUCUUCAGCCUCCAAAGUAAAUGAGAUUCCAGGCCUGAGUCUCUUGGGCCAGUGGAAACAGUGUUUGUGGUGCAGGGGACGAAUCCUGACUUCUCUCAUGAUUGGCAAGAGCUCUUACCGCUGAGCUCUGCAUCAGCUCAGGGCCAGUAAUACAGUGUGGAAAUUUAAAAGACUAACAUACUCCAAGGCAAGGCACAACUGAUGGUCCAUCUAGUGAAAUCAGUGUUCCUACUCUUACCCCACUAUUUGUUUAAAUAUGGGCAGUGGCCAGAAAAGGGUGUUGAAUCCUUUGGAACUGAGGUUAUUGACAGUUGUGAGCCACCAUAUGGGUGCAGGAAAUCUAUGCUGACUGGUUUUAUGUCAACUUGACUCAAGCUAGUCACUGGAGAGGAGGGAGCCUCAAUUGAGAAAAUGCCUCAGUAAAAUUGGGCUAUAGGCAGGCCUUAGGGCAUUUCUUAAUUAGCGGUUGAUGGGGGAGGAACCCCUUGUGGGUGGUAUAAUGCUGGGCUAGUGGUCCUAGGUUUUAUAACAGUAGUUCUUAACCUUCCUAAUACGACCCUUUAAUACAGUUCUUCAUGUUGUGGUAACCCCCAGCCAUAAAAUUAUUUUCAUUGCUGCUUCAUAACUGUAAUUUUGCUACA